UCCCUAUCAAAAUAAUAUCUAUUUAGUCAACUUGUAUGAAGUCUUUAAAAGCUCCAUCUCCCACUAUAGAUUCAAUUCUUCAAAACCUGUAAAAAGAUAUAAAAUAAAUUUUGUAAUGAGAAAACAUCACUACUAAUUUUAUAGUAAGCAUAGUUUAAAAUGAAAGGGGUGAUUGCCAUUCUUCAAAACAAAAAACUCUAAGCAAAAGAAUAUAGUAAGCAUAGUUUUUAAGAAAAGAAGGGUAAUUACCAUUCUUCAAAAAUAAGAAAGCUAAGGAAACAAUCAUUAAAUAACAAAAUUAUUUUUUUAACAACAAUCUAUACUAAUGAGACUGAGUUCUGAUUGAAGCAAAAUACAUCCCAAUCAAAUACUCACAAUCAAUAAAUGACAUAAUAAGAUUCUAAUUAAUAUACAACAAUAUGGGUUUGAUAUACCAUUUUAACUCUUAGCUAUUUGUGCAUUUUAAAACACAUACAACAUAUUUUUAACAGACCAUGGUAAUCCAUUCACUGAUAUGGAAACUGAUAUCCAGUGGAUUGAAUUUUUUCAAACGUUGAUAUGUGAAUCCCAUUUGCUACGCCAUCAGAUGGUGCACUUGCUCCCAUUUUAUCAGUCUAAGCAAGUGUUUCUUAGUUGUAAUUUAUUUCCCAUCUAUAAGGUUUACUACAAUAUCUGUAACAUCUUUCGGUAGCAAUUACAAUCAAAAUUAAUGUAUUAGAUGUUUAUCAGCCUUAGCUAUGUAUAACCUGUACUAUCAUCAGUCAUUACAGAAUGUUUCUGUUUUCAAAAGCAUGGUUACAUAUAUAAAUAGUAAACAUGAUCCAUUCAUUUUUCAUACAACACAUAACAAUUUAAGCAAUAUCAAAAGAGUGAAUGGACCUUCAGAUUUAGUAGAUUGGAAUUGAGAGGGACAAGCAAUAAAAAACUUCUUGCACACAAGAACAUACCUGCCAUCGAAAAAGUGAUUUAUAUUCACCUUCCCUUUAGCAUCAGAUAAUAUAAGUUAAAUCACCACAACAUUGUGUCCAUCGCCAACACUCUGUACUCAUUACAUGAAUGUUUGUGCUUUCCCCAAAGCUUGAACAUGAAUGUCAACAUCCGAGUCUCGUCUUGUAUAAUUAAAAUGACAGAUAACAUUUAAGUAGUCAGUAUGUUAGCAGAUGCAAAGUAAAAUAUUUGUUUCAGAAGAGAAAUUUAUCUACCUCAUAAAUGUGACAAAUUAAUAAAACAUUAAAUUCAACUGAGUUAGUACAUGUGAAAAACUUACGUAUGCCAGGUGAACCACUUAUUCAAGUGUUUCAAGUGUUCAUUCUUUAACACUAAAGCACCGUGAAAGUGAAACAAGCAUGCAAAAAACUUUCUUCUUAAUUACAUUAUUGGUUUUUGUUUCUCUCUAAAUAUGCCAUAACACUGCCCUAGUGUAGACAUGAAAAUUAUAAAUUUUAUAACAAUGUGUAGACAUGGAAAAAUUGGGCUAGACUUUAUUAAUAAUCUAAUCAAUUUAUCCAUAAUUUUUUUUAACUUAUGUGGGUUUCUGGCAUUUAACACAAGGCUAUACAUACUUAAAGACAGGUGUAUCAAUGUCUUUGCGUAAAUAAACUUUCGAAAGGUACUAAUGGGUAGAAUCAAAGAUACAAGAUAUCAAACAAAGAAAUCGUAAUGCAAAUACAAUAUGAAGGUGAAUCAUUUAGUGAAAUUACUAAAAUGAUAUUUAUCUAGCUGAGCUUCGAAAGGAGUGACAUGAAAGCAUGACAAAAAGUAUAAAAAUAAGUUCAGGAAAAAGCAUGCUUACUACUAUUAGGAUAAAUAAAUUAACUGAUAUCGUACUUCCUCGAGAUGCAUAGAGUUAUUGUAGUUUAGGAAUGGAUGACCAAUUAACUUUGUUACAAGCUCACAGCAAGACGAACCUUUGUUUCUGACAGGGACUACC
rnacentral:lncRNA from 1 species